GGAAUAAAGUGGGGUUUUUUCCCUUUUAAUUUUUUUUUUUUGUGUGUGUUUUAUUGUUGGUAGAUGUUAAGUUUCAGAGGAACAAAAUGUAACUGCACGAUUAUGUCAUUUAAAAUGGAGUUCUGCCUAUACCUGCUAAGAAAAUUGAAGCUUGGUGGUGUACCUGGUAAUCUAGCAAAUCAAUCAAAAAGUAUUUAAUAUUCCCAGAUUCUAAGCAUACCAUAAUUCUCAGUACUAUAAAGAAUUUCUUAAAAGUGUAUGUAAAACUAUUCAGUUUUUGAAAAUGUUUUGGAUGCUUAUCAUAGAUGACUGUGGCCUUAGUUGCUUCAAAUUUGGGGGAGGGGAGGAAGGUACAGAAAAUCAAUCCAAGAACUACAACUUGGUAGCAAAAUCUACCUUGGUUGAAAUAUGUACCAAGUACAGUGUUAAUACAGGGGAGAAAGAUCCUGAUCCAGAGAACUUUGUAGCAGAGACAGUACCUAGUCACGUUUUGAAGAUUGGUAGCAAAGUUUUCCAUGUAGAUCAAGAUAAGCAUGUUUCCAGCAGAGAAGCCACGUGUGAAAAGUCAAUGAGAUACAAAAGAGAACAUGGCACGUUCUUGGAUUUACUAAAGAACAGUUUGCAUGGAGCAUAAUGAACAUUCAAGUGGGCGAGGUUUGAGGGGGAGACAUUAUGUUACUAUAAAUCUUCCCUUGUUCAUCCAUUUAACAUAUAUUUAUUGAGCACAUCAUUCUAAGUGCUGGAAAACAGGGGUGCACAAAAUCAAGUCUGGGCUUUGGAGGAGUUCACAUUCUAGUGAUCCCAGAAUUCCAGAAUGGCAGAACAGAGAUUUCCAAGGUCUGAUUCAACCAUCACUUUAUCUUCUUUGUUCCUUUUUGGUUUACAGAUUAGAAAACAGAGGCACAGGGAAGCUACACCGUUUUACUGAAAUCACACAUCAAAAAGGUGGCACUUCACAGAUGGAAAAGGACUUUGCAUACAAAGACCAAGACUGUCAGAGUUGGAAGCUUAAUUCAUUCAAGAGGAAUCUCAUGCUCUAGCAAAUGAUUUCUUUUAAAAGUUAAAGCAGCCAACCAAGUCUUUUCUGAUAGGAAUGUUGGUUGUUCCACUGCCCCUCAAUCAGAAACCUGUUAUAGACAAGCAAAUCAAGAUUCACAGAACUUUUCAUGUUUGAGCCAGUGCACUCCAACCGCUUCUAGGUUCAGAAGGGUGAUAACUUCUUAUCCUGAGAUACAACACUGAGAUCAUAAAAGUGAAACCAGAAACAGUUGCUGGGCUUAUUCAGAUGGGAUACAAUAGUAUACUACUCCCCACCCCCACCCCCCACCAAGGAUAUUAGCCUUUUCAUACUAUGCCAAGCAAAAAAAAAAUGGAAUUGCUUUGUUAUGAUACAGGAAGGAGCAAAAGAUGGUGUGACUCAAUGGAGGAUUUUCAUUGGUGGCCCCUGUAAUCCAGCCCUGGUCAAUUAUUUCCAUUGCACCCUGAGUCAUUUAUCUUUCUGCAAGCAAAGCAUCUGGAGGCAGUAAUUGUAAAUAAUUCAUUCCUGUACAAUUCUGCAGUUGGAUUUAACUCUGAUCUCAAUGAAAGUGACAAUGUUGGAUGUUCCCACUUUUUAGAGAUAGUUGGUUUGCACCUGCGAUGGCUAUACUCUGCCCCAGAACUGUCCUGAGGGGUAGAGCUCCUGUUUAUAUCCCCCUACCUCUCUCCUAGGAGCUAAGACUCAAGAUCACUGUGCCCACACCUUGCCUUGAUCCAGUGACUUCAUGAUAUUUUACAUACUCUGAAAUUGAGAUUUGAGGAUUGGUUGUGGAAAAGAAAGAGCUUCAUUUCCUAUGCCCUCUAACACUCCCUGGAUAGGUGAGCAGGGCACCAUUGCUUCUUGAUCUCUCGUAGUUGCAGUCCAGUGAUUUCAGAGAGACUACCUUAGACUGCCCUCCACUUGGCCAUGAUGUGUUCCAGAUGAACAAAAGCAACAACGAAAAACCUAAACUGCUGCAGGGUCCCCCAAGCCGACACCACUGUGCAGAUGUUGGUGUGCACCCCACAGCUGGUUCCCCAGCACCUGGAACAGUGCCAGUCACAUCAAUAUGUAUUUGGUGAAGGAAUGAAUGGGCUGAGCCUGAAGAGAAAGAGGGCGAUGCUAUUGGAAGGUGGCCUUUGGGAGGUGAUUGGAUCCCAAGAUGGAGCCCUCAUGAAUGGGAUUAGUGUCCCCCAAAAAAAGGACUCCAGAGAGCUCCUCCCCAUGUCCAUCCUGUGAGGACACAGUGAGAAGAAGGCCUCUAUGAAGAGGGAGGUCAGCAGAUGUCAGAUCUGCUGUCACCCAAUCUUGAACUUCCCAGCCUUCAACUCUGUGAGAAAGAAAUUUUGGUUUUCUACAACCCAACUAGUCUAUGGCAUUCUGUAGCAUCACAGAUUAAUUAAGACCCCAUGUGUCUGAUAUAGGGGUCAUAUCCAAAAUAUGUAAGGAACUCCUACAACUCAAUAGCACAAAAGUAAAUAACCCAAUUUUAAAAUGGCAUUUCUCUUCUAAGGAAGAGAAACCUGUGACCACCAGGUAUAUGAAAAUGUGCUCAACAUCAGGAAUCACUGGGGAAAUGCAAAUCAAAACCAAACCUGCUGGGAUGCUAUUAGGAAAAAACAACAAAAGCAAAAGGUAAUUAUUAAUGAGGAUGUGGAACAAAGGGAACUUCUGCAUACCUUUAGUAGGAAUGUAAAUUAGUGCAGUUAGAAGACACUUGUUUGGAUAAGUAUUCUCCAAAGGCCUAAGGGUGAAAGCUUAGUCCACAAACCUGUGGUGUUAUUGGGAGGUGGUGGAAUCUUUAAGAGGUACGGUCUAGAGGGAGGAAGUUAGGAUAUUGGGGUGUAUCCUUGUAGGGGUAUUGGAACCUCAUUUCUCUUAAUCUCUCUCAUUCCUUCCUGGCUGCCAUAAGGUAGCAGUUUCCUCCACCAUGUACCCAUGAACUCCAACCAUGAGGUACUAUCUUGCCAUAGGCCCUAAAGCAGUAGUUCAAUUGAACACAAACUGAAACCUCCAAAACUGUGAGCUAAGGUAAUAUUUUCUUCUGUAUAAUUUUAUUACCUCAGGUAUUUUGUUAUAAUAAGAAAGCUGAUUAACACAGGAGGACAUUUUACAAAUGAAAAAAAUUGCCAUGUGAUCCAACAAUCCCAAUUCUGCAUAUUUAUCCAAAAGAAUUGAAAUGAGAAUUUUGAAGAAAUAUCUGCUGUAUCAUGUUCACUGCAGCAUUAUUCUGAAUCAUGAAGUCAUGGAAGCAACCUAUGUGUCCAUCAAUGGAUGAAUAGAUAAAAAAUAUAUAUAGCAUAUAUACAUUCAACAGAUAAAUUGUGAUAUACCCAUUCACCUGUAAAUGGACUUUAGGACUUUUUCAAAUUCUGGGCUGUCACCAAUCAUACCUCAAUAAAGUGACUUUAACAAAAGAUAUUCAAAUAAAAAUAAGGGAAAUGUAUGAACGGCUAAUAAAUACAUGCCUUCACACCCAACUUCUGGGAUUCUUAUGAACUGCUAGUGGGGAUAUAAACUGAUGAAGAACUUUGGAAAAUUGGCAGUUUUAAAGAAAUGAAGUUCAUGCAAACAUUGUACCUGAAUAUUCAUAGCAGCUCAACUUGUAAUAGACCAGAAUUUGAAAAAAAAUCCAAAGUCCUUCCACAAAUGCAGAAAUAUAUUAUGGCUCAUUCAAAAACUGGAAUAUUUCUCAAAAAUAAAAAGAAAUGAACAACUAUUAUUUGCAGAAACCUGAGUGGGUCUCUAUAACUAUGACAUAUGCUGAGCUAAAUGUGAAACUAUACUUUAUGUACAUAUAUAUAAAAUUUUAGAACAGGUAAAAUUAAUCUAAAAUUAUGACUAACAUAGAUCGGGGAGUCAGAUGUUUUAUAUUUUAGACUUUUUUUUUAUUGAAUGAAGAAGGGCACAAGAAAUUUUAUAGGGUAACAGAAACAUUCUGUAUUUUGAUUUUGAUGAGGUUUAUAAAAUAUAUACAUUUGUCAAAAUUCAUCAAAUGGCAUUUCCUGUAAAUUAUGCCUCAAUAAAUUUGAUUUAAAGAAAAAAAAUAGUACCCAGCUUACUGGAUUGGUGUGAAUAAAAAAUAGGAGAAUUCAAGUAAAAAUCUUGCCUCACACAAAAUACCCAACAAGGAUUAGCUAUCAUUAUGUCCAUAAUUCCAGAUUAUGAGCAAAAUUUUUGUUUUUUCUCUCUGCCUAAUGGAGAGGCUGAAAUUGUAGCCUUGUAGAGCAGGUUGGAGUCCCCAAGAUAUGGAAGUGGAGAGACUUUCAUUCCAAGGGAAUAGGACAUUGCAAAGCAAGAACAUGCUAAAGCCUGGUCAUAUUGGGCAAACACAACAUAGUACCAUUGGCUCAAUCAGAAGGAAUAUCAAUGCUGAUAGUAAGACAAAAAAAAUUAUAAAAGAGAAAGCUGUUGCCAGUAUUAAAAAACAACAACAACAAAAACCAGAAUAAUGUUCUAACUCUUGAUUGGCAAGAAAAAGGAUAAUCAUAAUUCCUGGUUUCCUCAAAACAGUACAAAUUUACAUCACUGGAUAAUGCAUAAUUGCUAAUAGCAUCCUUAGCAUCCUGUUUCUUUCUCAAAAUUGCUCUGGUUUGGAUAAUAAAUUAUACUAUCUAUCAUCUUAGCAAUGAGAAACCUUUAAACUCUUUUUAAAAAACAGAUCUGAGGACAAAAGGGCAGAGAAAGGAUGAUCUUAUCAGAGUUGCACUUGACCAAAUCUA